rnacentral:rRNA from 2 species
UGAGGAAUAUUGGACAAUGGAUGGAAAUCUGAUCCAGCCAUGCCGCGUGAAGGAAUACGGUCCUAUGGAUUUUAAACUUCUUUUGUAUGGGAGCAAUAAGCAUUUCGAGAAGUGCGAUGAGAGUACCAUACGAAUAAGCAUCGGCUAACUCCGUGCCAGCAGCCGCGGUAAUACGGAGGAUGCAAGCGUUAUCCGGAUUUAUUGGGUUUAAAGGGUGCGUAGGCGGUUACUGUAAGUCAGUGGUGAAAUUUUGAUGCUUAACAUUAAAAGUGCCAUAGAUACUGCAGAGCUGGAAUGGGGAUGCUGUCAGCGGAAUGUGUAGUGUAGCGGUGAAAUGCAUAGAUAUUACACAGAACACCGAUUGCGAAGGCAGCUGACAAAUCCUUAAUUGACGCUGAUGCACGAAAGUGUGGGGAUCAAACAGG